AGUGAACGCUGGCGGUAGGCCUAACACAUGCAAGUCGAACGGCAGCACAGUAAGAGCUUGCUCUUACGGGUGGCGAGUGGCGGACGGGUGAGGAAUACAUCGGAAUCUACUUUUUCGUGGGGGAUAACGUAGGGAAACUUACGCUAAUACCGCAUACGGCCUACGGGUGAAAGCAGGGGAUCUUCGGACCUUGCGCGAUUGAAUGAGCCGAGGUCGGAUUAGCUAGUUGGCGGGGUAAAGGCCCACCAAGGCGACGAUCCGUAGCUGGUCUGAGAGGAUGAUCAGCCACACUGGAACUGAGACACGGUCCAGACUCCUACGGGAGGCAGCAGUGGGGAAUAUUGGACAAUGGGCGCAAGCCUGAUCCAGCCAUACCGCGUGGGUGAAGAAGGCCUUCGGGUUGUAAAGCCCUUUUGUUGGGAAAGAAAAGCAGCAGGUUAAUACCCCGCUGUUCUGACGGUACCCAAAGAAUAAGCACCGGCUAACUUCGUG
rnacentral:rRNA from 1 species